CACAUUCCUGUUCCCCACUUGUAUUGGAGUGAACGGAGAUGUCUACUUCUGGGCCCCUUGCAUCGAGGGACCCGUCCACAGAACGCUUAAACAGCUGCAUUACCAGGCUUGGCCCCUGAGCACUGGUGGAUUGCGGAAGUAUGCACUGUUCCUGGGAGUAGGGUAAAAAAAAGCCUUGUAAAUCACGGUUCACACGAGAUCUUCCUUGAAGUCGGAUCUUCAGAUAUUCAUAUCGGCCAUGAGCAUGGAAGAGCCAGACCCCAAGGCUUUGAGAAUGGAGGAAGAAAACCAGUGAAAACAACGGACCUUGAAAACAUGCAGCAAGCGAUCAAUAAAAAUAUGUAUUCAAUACAAUUAUUG